rnacentral:lncRNA from 10 species
GUUUCUUAAUAAAUUCUUUUUUCUAGCUUACUUUAUUAUAAGCAUACAGUAUAUAAUACAUGUAACAUAUAAAGUAUGUAUUAAUUGACUAUUUAUGUUAUUGGUAAGGCUUCUAGUCAACAGUAGGCUAUUAAUAGUUAAGACUCUGAGGAGUCAAAAAGUUACAUGUCAAAUUUCAACUGUGUAUGGGGUUUGCAUCCCUAAUCUCUGCAUUGUUUAAAGGUCAGCUGUAAGUUCUUUGGGAUCCCACCACACCGAAGUCUCCCUUCUCUUCUCAAAGACAUCAUUAUCCUCCUCACAGCCUGUGCCCUGGCAGCCUUACAGAGCUGAACCAACCAGAUCCUUCUCCUCUCGAGGUUUUAAAUUAAGACUCUCAGAGACUGCGGGAACUUGAAGUCAGAAGCUAUGCUGUGAUAACAGCUAGCACUUAUUUAGUGCUGACAUUGUGCCGGCCCUGUUCUGAGACCGUUGCAUAUAUCACCUUAUUUCAAGCUCACAGCACUCCUACGCAGGAUAUCGUCUCCCCAUUUUACAGGCAAGAAAGCUGACGCACAGAAAGGAGGAUGCAUUCUCCAUGGUUGUGCCAACAGUGGAGCACCUGCAUGUGAAUCCAGAGUCCAUGCCUUCAGUUAUGACACCUUAUUGCUCCAGUGAUUGCAGGAGAACUGGGACUGGGGCUGGUGUAAUGGCAAAACCACAGGCAAUCUGGAAAUAUACAAGAUCAGAAACUGAGGAGUGGGAAAAGGAGAAGCUGGUUCACAGGACUCCAGCAGACGUGAGCCUGUAAUUGUGAAAGAUGGCAAGAAAUUUCUGCAUCCUGGCAAGGGAGAGGAUGGCCGGAAUGAGAAGCCACAGUGGGAUGAAUUUGGAGGAUAAUCCAAGCAGUGUCAGUGAGAAGAGGGAGGCUCCAGCCUUGUUGCAGGUCAACUGCCAGGUGAGCCAAAAACUCAAAAACCAAACCAAACCAAAACAAAGCUACAAAGCAAAAAAUGCUCUCUCUCUUUGCCUAUAGAAUGAAUACUUAGAAGAGAGAGGAGAAGGAGAAUUAAAAGGAAAGGGAUGGAAGGAAGAAGAGUUAUUGGAUCUAAGGGACUGAAAUAUAUCAACGAAUUGUGCAAAAUCCAUUCUAGGUGUUCAAUGUCAGUUACUCAUCUGUUGCAUGUGGUUUCAAUUUCCUUUUAAAUCCAUAUGUAUUUGAAAUGAAGCCAGACCAGGGUAGGAUGAAGGGGAGCCUGCAUCUCACUGCUUCCCUCAAAACAAAGUUUUGGAUGUUUUUGGUCAUUCCCUCUGGGUUCUCAGUGCCUGGUGGAUUCCAUCGACAAUGGAUGUUAAAUCCAUCCUCUGGGGAAAGGAAGUGCUUGCAGAUAUUGAACGUGGACCUCAGAGUCUCUAAUGUGAUGAGAGAUUGCAACCAACUGGCUUCUGCCUUUUAAGAGGCCCUGAAUCCAGGCCGUCUGGAAAUUAAAUAGGGAGCCCAGCUCACUGCUACAGCUUGUCAGUGUGAUUGCCACCCACGAUUGGCUCUGAGCAUCUCUUCUAAAACAUGCCAGCAACUGUGUCUUUAUUUUGUUGAUGCAAGUCCAGAUGCUGGUUUGAAGGAGGUAAGCUUUGUUUCUGAGCCCCUAUAGCGCAC